CACGGUGGAGGGACUAUGUCUCUCACAUGGCCAGGGAAUGCCUUGGGAUUCCCCCGGAGGAGCUGGCCCAAGUGGCUGGGGAGAGGGAAGUCUGGGCCUCUCGCCUUAGGCUACUGUCCCUGUGACUCGACUCCGGAUAAGCAGAUGAAAAUGGAUGGAUUAAUGGACAAAAUCAAUAAUGAAACAAGCCCAAACAACACAAUAAAUCAAGUUAUACUAACAGGUAAAAUUCAACCCACAGAGUUAAAAGCCUGAUCACAAAAAUAGGUCUUCAGCAUUGUAAAAACUGCCAAAGAUGAGCACUUUAAGUCCAUCUAUUCAAGCCAAUAUACCGCUGACAGAUGGUUUAUGCAAGAUUUUGGUGGAUCAGUUCAUAAAGGUCACCUAAUCUUGAUUGGCAGACUGGAUAUAAAAGCUGAUAUGAGUUUGUGAUGCAGCGUCUCUGGUGAGAAAAAAAAUGACAAGAGAAUAGAGAGGAGCGAGUUUAAAGAGGAGUCAUCCCUGCUGGGAUUUUCACCAUUGCUAAAGGCAGAAUAAUUGCCACGGUGUGGUGAUUACGUAACAGAUAAUUACAGAUAAGUGGUGAACUAUUUCUCAAAAGAAAUCUCACUCAAGAGAUUCCAUCUGCAUUAUACAAAAACGUCUCCCAGUGAGUGAAAAGGGACUCAAAAAUGUAAGAUAAUUGUAAAGGGCUCAUUUACCACAGGGCCACCAGUGCUGAACGAUGUCCUGUAACAUGCAACACAAUCAUUCAUCAGACACGCUGCACAGAUCUGUCCAGGAGACUGCACGACUGAAUCACUGCACCUGUGUCGAUAUGUUGGAGUUUUAGACAUCUUGUGAGUUUAUAGGCUUGGAUCAAACGACACAGUAAAUCGCCUGAAGUAGAUCAUGAAUCGUGUUCAUGGAGAAACUCACAAGCUCAACGUUUUUCUGUUCAAUGUUAGAUUUUUGUGUGUGUGAAGAUUAAUGAUGAGUCAUGGGUAUGCACAGUGUGAUUGGAUCAAUGCUAUCAUGUCAUUGCAAAAUAAAAGGGAGUCAAUUUAACAAUUACAUGUCGUGUCUAAUAGUACAACAAUGUUCAAGUCACACGGAGGGAAAAUAAAGAACUGCACAGUUUGUUUGUUUUAAUGUUUGUAUGUAAUGUUUAAUGUAAGUAUUCAAUGUUUUUAUUUAUUUUAUUUAUCAACUAUGCAUUUUAGAAAAACUUCUCUAUUUCUUAGACUUUUAAAAAUAUAUCUCAUGAAACAGAUUUACAGUAAAGCCCUACACUUUAUUGAUUGAUUGCAUAUACAAUGCAUUUUAAAAGAUAUUAUUUAGCUGGUUAUGAACACAUGCAGGCUGUUUUUUCAGUUAAUAACAAUAAGCAUUUUUAAUAUUUUGCAUUUUAGCUAUUCAGUGUGAGCUUAAAAAUACUUUGUAGACCAUGUAACUAAUGGUAUAAUUUGUGGCAUUAUGGAAAACUGUUAUUUCAUUUUACAAUAAAAAGAGGAGGUAGCUGUGACAAAGCGUUCUUUUAUCCAACAAAAGUGCAGAACACUGAACUUCAACAGCAUUAGAAUUGAUGCAAUCACAACCAAAUCAAGUCAAACUAAAUCAAAUUUGAAACACCCAUCAUCGUUCAUUGGGUUUAGAUCAGUCCUGGCUCACACAUGGAGAUGAGGAGCAGCUGAACAUUUUAAUAGAGAGCAGCUCAGCUUUUUGAAACUGGAGGACCAUAAGAAAAUAAAUAAGAUUCACCUCAUUUCAUUUUCUUUAGUUUAUACACUGAGUGAUAAGGAUUUGGUGUUAUCUGUAUAAGCUUUCCACCACGGCUGAAAACUGUAAAUGCUCAUUGUAACAUGUUAAUUAAAAUGCUAAAGCAACAGACGUGACAUGAAGAUUGUAUUGUUUGUUUUAUGCAACAUCAGGAGCCCUAUGCAGAUAUUUUGGGAUGACAUCAGCUGCCACUGAGGAACAGCCAUCUACCUCCACUGCUCAUACCAGUAGGCCAGUAUUUGAACUCGAGGAGGGACAGUCUGCUGGCACCACAUCUCCCCAGGAAGAUACUUUAGAGAGACCUACCAGUAUAUGUGAACUUGAUGAGGGACAGCCAGCUGCCACGUCUCCCCAACAAGAUACGUCAGGUAAGUUUUGCACAAGUGUGUGUGUGUGUGUGUGUGUGUGUGUGUGUGUGUGUGUGUGUGUGUGUGUGUGUGUGUGUGUGUGUGUGUGUGUUUGUGUC